AUUACGGUAUUUCUACCCCGCCCUUCCCACCCAGUCGGGGACUCAGGGCGACUAAUAAUAAUAAUAAUAAUAAUAAUACAAUGUAAUAAUAUUGUAUAAUAUAAUAAUAUUAAUUAUAUAUUAUAUAUUAAAUGUAAUAUUACUAAUAAUAAUAUGGUAUAGUAGUAUAGUACAAUAUAGUAAUAUAUAAUGCUAAUAUUGUGCUAUGCUAAUAAUAUAAUAUAUUGUAUGUACAUACAACUUGUAAGCCACUUUGAGUCCCCUUUGGGGUGAGAGAGAGUGGAGUAUAAAUUUAGCAAGUAAAUAAAUGAUUGUUGUUGGGGGUUUUUUGUACUACAAAUAAGACGUGUGCAGUGUGCAUAGGAAUUUGUUCAUUUUUUUUUAAAUGAUAAUUCAGCCCCUCAACAAUCUGAGGGACCAUGAACCGGCCCUCCACUUAAAAAGUUUGAGGACCCCUGCUCUAAGACAACAGCAACAGGUAGGAAUCUCCUAACCUCCCCCCAACCCCUUGAGGAGACAUUUUGGGAAGCGCAAGAAGCAGCUGGGGUAGUGGGGGGGGGGGGGGAGAGAGGUGGGAAGGGAAAAAUUCAUUUACCAUAGAAAAUCAAAACACAAUAACUGAACAGAAUGUGAAUAGUAGGACGACUUUGCACUUUAGGUAUAAUAAAAAUGCACAUUAUACUUAUGCUUCAUUCUCUUUAUUAUAGAAAUUGAAAGACCUCUCUAUUCCACUCAUUACAGUUGUGAUAACUUCAUCAAGGCUUUUAUUAUGACAGGGGGGACUCUUGAUGUAUAACUCUCAUUUGGAGGUCACUUUAGCUCCUUUUUGAAGAUUUGAUACUGUCAUUUCUCUUUCUCUGGCAUAUUCAGAACAGAGUUUUACAAAGUGCUAUACUUUCCACUUGAAAGUCAGAGGGAAAAAAAAACUUUUCAUCCAGAAAGCAAAUCCUUAAUGAAUUAUUGCAGGGUAUAUUCAGCAUUGUUUUAGGAGAGCAGCCUUACAUCUUAGUUAAUUGGUAGUGCUUGUGUUGUCAUGGAAAUUUAAUUAAUCAACGUCAGGAAGAACAUCUGGUUAUAUACUGGGAAUCAUAGUAAUGAAGUUGUUCAGGUAGUGAAACAAUUGAACAAAGAUGAUGUGCAUGCCUGAAGCAACCCUGUUCCCAAAGCAGCUUAAUAGAAGAUGGAUGUUCUAGACUAGCUUUUACCCAUUUUGGGUCCCCAAAUAAGAACUGGGCAUGUUUAGCCUUCAGAAGAGAAGGUUGAGAGGAGACAUGAUAGCCAUGUAUAAAUAUGUGAAAGGGUUUCAUAAGAAAGAGGGAGCAAACUUGUUUUCUACUGCCCUUGAAACUCGGACUAGGAGCAAUGGGUUCAAAUUACAGGAAAGGAGAUUCUGCCUGAACAUUAGGAAGAAUUUCCUGACUGUACAAGCCAUUGAACAGUGGAAUUCUCUGCUUCAGAGUGCAGUGGAAGCCCCUUUCUUGGAAAGUUUUAAACAGAGGCUGGGUGGCCAUCUGUCAGGGAUACUUUGAUGGUGCUUUUCCUGCAUGGCAUGGGGUCGGACUAGGUGGCCCAUGUAGUUUCUAUUAUCCAACUCUAUGAUUCUAUAUUCCUGGGAACUGGCCAUAUUAGUUUCAAAGAUGCUGGAAAUCAUGGCUCAAUACAGAAGCUGCUUAAACUCUGCUGGCUUUAAGGAUCGAUUUGCCAGCCUAUGUGGCAAAUCAGAGGGCAGUGGGGCAAUCCCCGCACCCCAUCUCACUGGCAGCUGAUGCUUGCCCAUCACACGUGGGGAAGUGUCGCUGCGAGUCUUCCCUCCACAGUGAUCUCGUUGUUCCAAAUGGAACAUGGGGAGGCUCCCGUGUUGGCAGUGCAGCAUCUUAGAAUACUUCUGCCCUAAUGGAGCCAUGGGGCUUUGCCAGAAGUGAGGCUAUGCCAUGUGAUGGGCAGCGUGAGGCUCCGUGGCUCAACUUGGGCAGAAACAUCCUAAAACACGGAAAUUUACACAUGUGAUGAGGUCAUAUGUCUCCACCCAGCCUUAGGUCUCUUAUUUAAGGGAUGCAUACUCUCUCCCACUGAUUUCAAUUAGGGAAGGGGGGUAAAAUUUGAGCAAUGAAAAUGUAUUUCUAUCUUUUUCACCAUUCAUUAUUCUGACAGGGUUUGAAUGCUAUCUGCUAAAAUAAGCUAACCUUGCUUUGCCAGAUUAUGGCUUUAAUAGGAGGAUUGAACAGAUUGUUAGAAGGUAUGAUUCAGUGGCAUUAGGCCACUAUAGCUAAAUAACAACUUGGAAAAUUUGCUCUUUUUGGUGGGGGGGGGCUUCAACCCCCUGUAUCCCACACACACAGUUACCAGAAGCUAUGCUAUCUGGGGCAUUCUGAGUAUUUUGGGUCUGAGCUUGUUCAGAAGCCACUCAGAUCUGUAUAUAAAAUAAAAAUAAGGACGUCUAUUAGUGUUCAUGCCCUGCAUUUAGAUUAUACCUACCACUGUUGUAAACAGAUGCAAGUUACAGAACUUGGGAAAUUUCCUUUUUUUAGAUUAUAACACCCCAAAAGUAACCUUCCAGAUCAAAUAGGGCUCACUUUUGUUCUUUUCCUUAGCCCUCCCUUCCUUAGAGUUAAAUGUAUUUGAAAUCAGUAGGACAGGCUGCUCAGAGUGCUUUUGAGUCAGGGUGCCAGCCCAGGCAUUUCCUUUUGAAGCUGAUUAUCUGCCCUACUUUCCCAGGGCUUUCGGCCUAACUGGAUGUAAUUGCAGCCCCCUUGGGGAAAGCAGCAGCUGUUAAGGAAAUGCCGCUUAUCACAGAACCAUUUUGUAACAUUAUUUUCUCACAACUCCCAACACAGAAGAUGCCAUGCCAAGUUGAAAAGGGUGGGGUAGUGAGAAAUGAGGGAUAUAUAACCAAAAAAUUCUGGCAAAACAAAAACAACAUUGAGAAAUACAACACAAUUAAGCCUGCUUUGGAAUCUAUGCCAUUAAUGAUUCACAUAAGUGGGAUUAAAUAUCUUUUUUAAAAAAAAAUAGUGAGAGAAGGAAAAUUAAUCUUAAUACAGGAGAAGUUGAUUUUUUAAAAAGGUCCUGGCACAGCUUUUGAAAUAAUUGAUAUUUCUGUAUAAACUCCUGUAUAAACUAAAAUGUUUCGUUGUAAAAUGGAACCCACAAAGCUUGGUCGACCUAUCCAGGGUCAAUAUAAAGUGCUGGACCUUAACUCAUAUUUUUACUAGUCUCUUAUCUGAGUAGAGUAGUGAAAUACAAGAGUUUAGUCCAUCCUGGGAGAACCUAAAGCAUGGACCUCACCACUCUUUCUGCUGCAGUGGCAGUUCUGGCCUUUUAAAAUGCCUGGGUGGGAAAUAGCAAUGGAAUGAACCUCCACUUACCAAAGGGUCGUAUCAAAAUCCAUAAUUUUGGGUCCCAAAAUGUUUCCCUCAACUUAAACAUGAGGUCAUUUAAUACAUUAGUCUUUGAGCAUAUAGUUUUUCUAUAAGGAGGGAGGGAGAAAGGGAGAAAAGGAGAAAGGGAAAACAGUACUUCUAGCAAGAAUUCCGCAUCUCAGCUUUCAUUUGAAAGGCCAGGGCAGAAUCAUGGCACCAAAAUGGAAUGCACCAUAAAAAAUUUGAAAAAAAUUAUUAAAGAUUGUGAAAGCAAAAAAGAAGUUUUUUGCUUUUCGUCAGCAGACUAAAAACCUUUGGGUUUUAGCUUUUUAUGGAUUUAACUGUGAUCUUUAAGAAAUACUAUUGAUGUUUAAUUCUUUUCCAAUGUUUGUAUAUUUGCAGAUUUUAAAUUGUAUUGAAAUGCUUUUGAUGUAAGCCAGCUUUGAGUUUCCUUGUGGAGAGAAAAAGCUGGGUAUAAAUAAACAUAACAACAACAACAACAACAACAAUUUGUGCCAAGGCAAUUCAGCUCUGAGAUUUACACACUUUAGAAUUAGGAAAAGAAUGAUGCUUUCUGGAAGAAAACACCUAUCAUAGGUAUUCUCCCUAUAUGAUAUCAAUCUGUCAGCUUGGCAUUUUCUUGACUUCUCUGAUCCUUCCACCUUUUCUAUCUCAAAGCCAAAAGGUGAGAACACUCAGGCAUUAUAACAUUCCAUUAUGAUGAUGAAUAUUUUGGGUGGCUUCAAGUCAUUUCUUAUGGUGAUCCUAAUCAUAAAGUUUUCUUGGCAAGAUUUAUGCAGAGGAGGUUUGCCACUGUAUUCCUCUAAGGCCUAUAAGUGUGGCUUGCCAUAGGUCAUCAAAUGCAUUUCCAUGACUGAACAAUCAUUCAAGUCCACUCUCCUGGAGACCUAGUUUGGGAAACAAGUGCUAAUUGAGCAAUUCAUAUGCAAAUGAAGUAUGCUUAAGAUACUAUACGAGUGAUAGUUGUUCACAUGUUAAAUCUGCAGCACAAUGUUGCAGUAUAGAGUACUCCUACUCAGGGCUCCAGCCAGCCUAUAUCUUUGCAGGAUAUUUCUUCCAUUGACAAUGUUCCCUGACAGUGUCAAUCACCAUUCCAAGCUCACCUAGUCCUCUCUGGGCUAUUUUUAACUUCACUUAACUGGGCUGAAAAUUCACAAGAUUAAAAGCAGGGUCAGAUAAAAACAGAUAAAGGGAAAUCAAAAUGUGGUUUUGCUUUCUGAAAGUAUUCUGUUGUUGUUUUACUGUUGUUACUUUUGUUAUUUCUGCAGGCCUGUUUAUACUUUCCUCUUUCACCUGAUACUGCUAUUUUGCCCUCUGUUUCCCAUUCUGAACUUUAAAGAAACUAUCUGUGUUGCUGAUCCUCUUUUAAAGAUAUGGUUCACAACCUUGGACAACCAUUCAAUCUAAAAUCUGGAUCGGAUUUUCACUGAACUGAUAUUUUUGUUUACACAAGUAUGCAUUUGCACAGCUGGGUUUACUAGUAGUUUAAGUAAGCUAUUCUACCCACUUCCCAGAGUUACAAUUUUGAGUUUGAUAUUCUUUCUGAUGAUUUGCUAUUGCCAGUACCAAGGGAAGGGAAAAGGGAGGGGGCGGAGAGAGAAAGAAAUAGAAAGAAAGAAGGGGAAAGUAUGUAACAUUUCUCACAGAGUAAUUUAAUUUUUACCGAAUACUCUGCCUAUAAUUUUGAGUGUUGAAAUAUCGUCACACAAUAAAGCCUUUGGAAAAAAUCACUGAAAAGUCUAGGAUAUUGUUAUCUUUUUCUUUAAAAGUUCUUAUUUACAUAUUGCUGAACCAUAAUUAUGGCUGGCUUUUAUUUUAUAUGGAAUAAUAUAAAAUAAAGAUUUUGGUAUCUAUAAAUAGUCCAUUAGUUAAUUGUCUAGAAACUAUUCAGUGCAGAUUUUAUUACCGUGCUUGAAAGCAUAUCCUUUGAAAUUUGAUGAUGACAUGAAUUCCAUCAAGCAGUUUUGCAUACAAAAGGCCAACAUCAAAAUUGUAUGAAACUGCUAAUAAAAUAAACAUUCACCAUAUCACACAACCUUCCCUUCUGUGGGUUGUAUUGCUUUUAAUUGUCUAUUCUUUUUAUGAAUCAGAUAGCAAAAAGAAAGGUAUUAAAAAGGAUUGUGCCAAAUAUUUGCACUUCUUUCUGAAUGUCUUCUUCCAUAUUGCGGGGGAGGGAAGUUUGGGAAAGGAUUAAUUCACUAAUGAAAUAUUUGUUUAUUUAAUGCCAUCAUUUGCUAUCAUUCUCAGUUGUCCUUUGGCAAUGCUACCACAUCACUAGUUGUAGUUGGGUAAGAUUUUUUCUUCCUGAUAGUGAUGUUGUGGCAUCACACAAAGCAAGGGAGGCCAACAUACGACUCUUGGUCUGCAUGCGAGUCCUGCUCUCAGCUCUUUAUAUACUACCAUAUAUCAUUUUUGCUGAAGUUUCUCCAUUGCAAAAAAUCUUAGUGAUUCUUCUAGGAAACAUGGCCCAUGGAGAGAAAACUGCCAGGAAGACAAUUUUGCUGGGAAACAAGGGCUGUGCUCUUGACAUGCACGUUUUCCAGGAGAACCCCUGGGAUUUGUGCAAUGACAGCAGUGGAACUGUUGUUGAACAACACACCUCCCACCCCAGAGAUUUAUAGUUCUUCAAAGGCACCAGACUAAAAUAAGAUUUCCCCCUCUUUUCUGUGAUACUCUCACGAUUCCAGUAAAGGCAACAGAUGGACCAACAGCCACCAACCUCCCUCAAAAGUUGGAUUACAGGAGAGUUUCAAGAUCCCUCACCUCUGCCUUUUCCCAGAACGUUUCCUCAUCACCAAGAACUCACAAUAUACAAUCAAGACUGGAUCCUUGGUUUCAGGAGCCUCAGUGACUUAACUGUCAUAACCCCACCCUUAUCACACAAAGCUGGACUAUUACACUAACCAGGAGCCCCCUAAGCCUUCCAAAUAUAGACAUGGACUUCCUGGAGCUCAUCCCCUCCUAGGAGAGCUACCCCUUAGGAGCUGAUUGGCCAUUCCUGGGUCAGUCUUCCUCCAUCUCCUCCCCUCCACCGGAGAAAUCACUCCUGAAGUCAUUCCUGAAUGUCUCUACAGCACCAGCCAGUUAGGGCACUGCUUCAGACCGGCCUCUCUGUUGACCAAUCAGGGAGGAAAGUGGGCAGAUUGGGGAGCUUGGAUGGAAACUGAACUGCUUAAUAAUCAAUGCUAUCUGUAUUCAUAUUUUAUGCUUGUAUUUUUGGUGUUAGCCAUACAUGCAUCUUUUCUGGCCAGAUCAUAAUUAAUCCUGAUGAGUGUAUUAUCUAAUCUGAAAUAUUGGGUUGUUGUUAGUGUAAUGGUUGGCUGGUAGAACCCUCUUUAUCCACAGUCCUAGUCCAAAUUUGACCUCAGAACCCUCAGCAACAGCUUUUCAGUAGCAGCAGUUAGGGGUACAACCCCCUGUGACUUUGGGAAAGACCAUGCAACCCCCAAAAACAGAAGAUGGAGCAGGGGUGAGGAAUGUAUGCCCCUUUGAUGUUACCUGACUUCUUCUCCCACUACUUCAGAUCAAUGGCAUGCUGGUUAUGGACCACAAUUUAUCCAUAUGACUUGUAUUGCCUUUAGACAUCAUGUCAUCCAGGAACAGGAAGAAGCAGUUAAGUAUAAGCAGAUAAUAUCUAAGAAGCAGCAGCAAGGCUUGGGAUACAACUGGAGAAAAGAUAACUAAUCUUUUUUAUGGCCUUUAUUGUAAUUGUGUACCUUCAAAUCAUUUGCAACUCAUGGUGAUCCUGAAGUAAACUUAUCUCAAAGCUUUCUUGACAAGAUUUGUUCAAAAGGGGGUUGCCUUUGCCUUCCUCUGUGAGAGGGUUUCUUAUCCAAGAUUAUCGAGGUUAAUGACUGAGCAAGAAUUUGAACCCUUCUUUCCAGAAUCAUAGUCUAGCAUUUUAACAAUUACAUCAUGUUGGCACUUGGAAAUCAGAUGGUUUGAGCAGAAAAUGACAGCUUAACCAAAAAAUCAUAAUCCAUCAUAGAAUGAAUAUAUAUAUAUAUAUAUAUAUAUAUAUACACACACACACUUUCAUUGAUGACUUUACACAUUUCAAUUAAAGUAACAAACUUGUUGCAGAAAGAAAUGAAUAUAUUCCUGUAUCUUCCUUCCAUUGAAAUGAAACAAAAGUCUUCAAACAAACUCAACAGAAUUGGUUUAGCUAGGAAUCCAGGAUGAAUGUUACUGAAUGAAUAAACUCCAGCAGGUUCUCCUUUUCUUGGUACUAACUCCUUCAACCAUUUUUUUUCAUCCUUGGCUUAACAUUUACAUUAAUAAAAUUUUAAUGUGUUUAAAAUAACCUUUAGAAAUGUCUGUGGCCUAUUGGUUGACUCUGUAAGUGGAUUACAUCUCCAGAAUUUUGGAUUUUUUUUCUUAUGACCACUGUGGCUAUCAUUCCCUUUUGUGGGACUUCAAAAAUAUUAUUUGAUCCCAGCCAAUACAAUCUAGGAAUAUUUGGAACACCCCAAACCUUCAACACAUACACAUACCACAUGGUUCAUUUCCUUUGAACUUGACAGGUGCUUUUUUAUUUAUGGGAGCAUGAUUAAUAAUACAGAUCCUUGUGCAGGAAGGGAAUAUAGAAUUCAAAGCACACUAAUCUUUUGAAAGCAUUUGAUAGGAACUGGUGCUUCAAAAUCCCAAAUGUAAAAUGUUCCCCUUUAAAGAGUGUCUGGAAUGGAAGUAGUGCUAAGUAAAAUAGUUGUAUGAAAUGGUAACUUAUCCAUUGACAAAUGCCUUUCCUAGUUUUAUGUGAAUGAGGUAGUUUGCUCAGCAUUACUAGUUUAAAGAGAAGGGGGAAUUUUACUGUAAUUAAAUAGAGAUGUUUGGUUUUUAUGGACAGUGAUAUAUUGGAAUGUUGUAACUGUAUUAAAACGCCAACAUUAUUAGCUUUCAUUGUGUCUGACGAAUCACAAUAAUAGAGGUAAAUAACAAGGUUUCUACAAUAAAGUGUUUGCUGAGGAAGGUACCUACAAAGCAAUCUCAAGAGAUACAAAGCUGAGUAAUGCAAAAUACCUUUACUGAGUGAUUUCAGCUCCGCUAAAAACACGGGUUCAUGGCCUGGAGUGUCAAGCUCCCAAAGAACUGAAUGAGUCACAGACGAGCUGAAGACAAAAUCAGAGGCAUUUAUUCACCUUGUCCAAAGUGGAUGUCAACAGAGGGCGCUUCCAGACAGCACUAAAUCACAGGUUUUAAACAGGGUCAAAACAUCGCAGGACUUCAGAAGAGGUCCACAUACAGACCUGUUUGUCCUGGGAUUUCUGCCUCUGUUGUCCAGACAUGUUGCUUUAUUCCGAGAUUUAGAGGCUCCCAAGAUGGCCGCUAUGGGACUUCUGCCAGAAAUCUCAGAGGGUUUAAAAAAAAAAAAAUAAAGGCAAUCACUGCAAAAGUUUCGUUCUUUGUCCUGGCCAGAGAAACUGCCCCCCCCCCCGAUGUUUCAUGAAGUAUCUCCCACACAAACAAAUCUCAUGGGGUAGGACCACUACUGCCCAAGUCAACAGUACACAAUCAAACAGGAACACACACUUUUAAGCCAGAGCUUUUUCAUUAUCAACUAUUUUUACAGCCUGGCUGCCUGGCCAUCUGUCCAGACAGAUUUUCCUAUUAACUACCUGCAUGAUUUUGGCUCUCAGUAUAUACAUUCCUCUCCAGCACAUCCAUGUCCCAAAAGCCAGUACUAAGUUUUUGCCAUGCCAUUUACUGAACUGUACACAUGUGACCAGCAUACACCCAAAGAGGAACCACAUGUAUAACCCGGCAACCCAUCCUGUUGUUCCCUGGCACAAGUACACCAUGAAACUUGUCUGCACAGAUGGCCACACAACAAGGUCUGAUUAAUUAUAGUAAUGAUGGCAUUCUGUUCCUGGUCUGAAAGUGUCUGUUCCUGUCAUUGUGUACUACUUAAUGUGAAAGUAUUUGUUGCAUCAUUUUUCUGCCACAAACUUCAUUUUUCUGUCAAACUUAAUUAAACAGGUGAAAGACGAAGUUCCUCUUACCAGGACAAAGUUUUUGCCUUCUGCUCAAGUGUAACCUUCUUCUUAGGAACCAACCAAUCAGGAACAAGCAUCUAUGGAAGGGCCCAGAGUCUGUGCUCCAAAGACUGACAUACCUCAAUGCAAACAUACAGAAAUAUUUAUAGGACUUUGACAGCAGUUUGAAGCAAAGGGCUUCUGCAGCUCUGAACGUCGAUUGGUCCAGAUCAUGGCAGACUAGGAUCUGCAGACUGAUUACCUGGGAUGCGCUAUCUUCGUUGUUGUAGGGAAAUUUAAUAAACUUUAAUUGA